rnacentral:misc_RNA from 1 species
AAGUCGUAACAAGGUUUCCGUAGGUGAACCUGCGGAAGGAUCAUUAACACUUUACAAAAAACAAAACUCAAAAUUUCCCUUUUGAAUCCCUCUCUUUUCUUUCUUCUCUCUUCGGAGGGAGAGAGUCAAGAGAUUUUCAAAUUUAAUUUGAACAAAAAUGUGUAACCUUACUUUUUUACUUAUGGAUUUGAGGGCAAGAAAAGAGGGAGUUUUCUCUCUCUCUUCGUGGUUCUCAGAUUUUCUCAUAAACCAGUUAAACCCAAUAAAUCAAAAUAUGGCGUAUCUCAAAGGGACUUUUUGUCUCUCUGACGAUCCCCCAUAGUUAAACCAAAAACAAAAACCAAAAACUAAAAAAAAACAAAAUAAAACACAACUCUUAACAAUGGAUAUCUUGGUUCUCGCGACGAUGAAAAACGCAGC